GCCAAAUGAAAAAAUCAACCGACAUGGUCUUUCAAUUCACUUCUUUCCAAGAUUUGAUCUUUCGCUACUCCCCUCCCUAACCCCAAUUCCGAUCCACCGCCGCGGCCACCACCACCACCUAUCAUGGUGACUUCGUCAUCGGCAUAUCCCAGGUCACGGUUGUCGUCGAUGAGGAUUGGAAUGCCAUUUCUCUCUCCAUUUUUUCACGCGACCACCCGUGUCUUUUACUCCAGCUGCCCACACAACCACCGUCCAUACUACCUCUUCUUCUUCUCUAUUUUCAUUUUCUUUCUCCAAGAUUUUCUCUAUAAGCUGCAAUUUUUGUAGAAUCAUAUUUUUUGAGGGCAUUUUAUUAACUUUUUCAAAACAACAGAGAGAAUAGAAAAGAGUAGAAGAAUCUCAAAUUAAGUACAAAAAAUGGCUCCAUAGAUUUUCCAAAAUGUGACAAAAGGCAAAAGAAGAUGGUGGCGUAGCUUCAAGGUAGACCAAUCUAUGGGCUUUUGCUGUGUGUUAGCAGAAUGGGGUUGGCCCGCAUUGAUGAUAGAGAUACUCCUCGGCAACCAAACUUGUACCUUGGAGCAAUAUGAUGGAGUCAUCUGUUGCCGUGCUGUACUGCCUAUUGCGUGCAAGGAAGGUCCGAAAAGGAAAAGACAACGAUGGUGAGAAUGUAAAUAUGACCAGAAGACUUCGAAAGACUUUUUGAAGAAAGGAGAUUCUGAGCAACCCUUCUAAACUGGAAUGAUAGUGUAAGUAGUUCAAUAUUUUCUUCGUUAUAGUACUUGUCUAACUCUUGCAAAAUAUAGAUAAACAUGUGUUGGCUAUUUUGUUUGAGAUUGCUCGAAAGAUAGGUUUUUGGCAUUGCAGGUUCAUGUUAACUCCAGACAGAAAUUUUGUACAAGUACUAUUAAAUUGUAGUACAUGCAAUGCAAGUUUGAGAGGAGAUACUUGCCGAGAUUUGUGCUAAGCUUUCAACUCCAAAACGUCUCAAGUAGCUUGUAGAACAUUUCUUCCGAUCCUAGAGGCAAUGGUGUACUGUGUUGCUUUACGGUGGGGUGGGAAAAAUAUGCAGGGAAUAUGCAGGGGCUAAAAUUAUAGUUGUUGAGGAUACAUAUUUUUUUAGUUCAUUAAUUAAGGGUUGCCUGUCAUUUGAGUCUACGAGUUCUCAUGUUGAUAUAUCACUCAUUACCACUUGAUUCAAUUCUUAUAUAUUUUAGCAAUUCAAUUCUUAUAUAUUUUAGCAAUUCUUAUAAAUUUCAUUGGUGCAUGAAUUAUCGAAUUUAGACAUGAACAUUUUACCCUUUUAUACCCACAUAACUCAAUUUUACUGUUCUGAGAUAUGCAUUUUGAGGCAUUUGAACAUGUUUUUGUUAUCUAUUUUCACUGACAACUUUUAGUUAAUGGUUGCUAUUAUUAAAUGGUCAAGCAAUUAAGUUUUGUUUUUGAUUCUUUUUUCCCAUUUCUUGCAUACCCUUUUUUCUACUAAUUUCAUAUGUGCAUAAAUGGUCGAAUUUAGACUUUAACAUUUCAUCUUUUUUCCCCCCCUCUAUCCUAUAGCUCAUUUUAACUAUUUUAUGAUACCUGCUCUGAAACAUCUGAACAUUUGUUGAUUAUCUAUCUUCAGUUGAAUAUUAUGUAAUGGUUGCAGCUAUCAGAUGACCGAGCAAAUACGUUAGGUUUUUAAUCAUUUUUCUAUGUUUCUAGCACGCCAUUCCUUCUAUUGCUACAUUAAAGUUUCUACUGGAUUCUCUCCUCUCUUCAUAGUUAUUUUAUUUCACAGCAGUUUUGUUCGCAUUGUUUUUUGCGUCUAUGAUCUAUCUGUGUUUUAUUGUGCUAUAAAAGGUACUACUAGAUUUCUCUCCUCUCUUCAUAGUUCUAUUUAUUCUCACGGCAGUUUUGUUGACAUUGUUUUUUGCCUCUGUCUAUCUGUGUUUUAUUGUGCUAUAAAAUCUCAAUGUGCUAUGUUUUUUGAAUUUGGUUUUUUAGUAAGUAAUUUCAAUCCUUGGUGUAUUCAUGUGCUUAAGCUUGAUGAACUAAUCAUCACUACUAAAAGAAGAGUGUGUUGGUUUUGGCACUGUUUACAUGGAUGCGUGCCAAGUUACAGUUUGCCUUUUUUUUUUUGGUUCCAUAUUUUCAUCCAAUACGUCAUCGUAUUGUACUUGACUUUUCUUUUCUUUCAAGCCAUUUCUCGUUACUCUCUCUGAAAAUCUCUUUGAUAUGUUUCAUCUCUCUUUCUUCUCUGUUGUUCUCCAUUUCCCCAUGCAACUACCGAUGUGUCUUUCACUUUCCCUAUAUUAAACUUACGAUUUUUGUGAAAUGCUUAGCUUUUAAAAUUUAGGGAAUUUUUGGUUUUUUUGGUGUGUGUGUGUGAGUUAAUGAUUUUGAGGUUCAGGUAAUUGGUUCGACUUAGACUACGGAGACAUCUUUUCAUCAACGAAUGAUUCACCGAAAGUGGAGGACAUGGUAAAUGAUGCUGUGGCGAAGGAAUCUGCGACGGAUGAGGUUUGAUCUGUUGAUCUAGCCAUCGAUUAUGGUGCAAAGCAAUUGGAUGUGAAGAUAUCGCCAAAGGCAGCGGUGGAAGGUGAGCCUUUGAGUUCUCCGAUAACUAUAGGUAUGAUUUCUAUAUCUACACGUGCUUUAUCAUGGUUUUUUUUUUUUUUCAAUAUUCUUUAGUGGCUCCCUUCUGGAAAUAUGUUUGGGUUAGUAUAUUCAGUUCUGGGUUUUUAUUAAUCUUCGGUGAAUUGUAUAGUGGACUUGAUGCUAUUCUUUGAUGCUUUUAAGAUUAUUCAUAUGUUGAUAGCUAUACUAGCACCAUUGGAGUAGAUUUUGUGAGUUUUAUUCUCAUAAUCCUUUAUAUAUGUUGAUGAGAUUACAAAAUAGUUUAGUUAUUUUCAGGUCUUUGGCUAUGUUUUUAUUGAGGUCUAAUGUUAUUAUCCAUAAUUACUGCAAAAAAUUAGGACUGUGGAGCUGGAUAGGAAGACAAUUAAGCUGCAAAAUGUGAGUUCAUUUGACUUGAUGACUACUCUAUAGUUGUGAACAUGAGUUAAUUUGACCUAAUGACUACUUUAUAGUUGUGAAAUUAUAAAAACAUCUAUAUGAAUAUUAUUUUAGCUGUAUGUACUAUUCCUUUACGAUGGUUUUGCUACAUGUAAGCUGUGCUUCAAGCAAAUAACUUUCGAAAGGGAAAAAAAUGUUUUGGUUUGAGGUUGUGAGGAUAGUUAGGACUCAAUAUUUUUCAUAUUUUUAGUCUAGAUUUAAUUGAUUGAGUUACAAUUGACAUUUCUUGCUAUCGAUAUGGAAUGAUUGGUUAUUAGUCUUCUUCUUCUUCCUCUUUUUUUUUUUUUUUUUGGUAUGUUUAUCACUCUUAGUUUUGUCUUUGAGAUGAAGCAAACAGGGAUGGGCAUUUGUCGACAAUCGUAAAGAUUUAUUGCUGAGAUGAACGUUGUAAUAAACGUCCUGUUAACUUUUGCCAUAAUAGCUGCAUUUGGUAUGAAUUUCCCUGAGCUAUGAAGGCCCUUUGCUCAAAUAUAUCAGAUCCAAUGUAUUGAUGUACAUAAAAUAUUCAUCAGUUCUCUACUUUUUGCUUCUAUUGUGGAGAAGCGCAAGAUUGAAAGUGGUUUAUAAGAAUUUUUUUAUUUCUAAUUCUUGUUUCAUAAAAUUGUACAGGAGGUAUUUGCGCAACUUACUUGCAAAUGUGAAAGACACAUUGGCACCCAAUCUGAGGAAUGGUCCAGGAAUUUUUGGAAGAAAAACAAUAUAAUGCUGAAGAAAUCGAGAAACUCAUUGUAGAAAAGUGUUAGUUUGAAGCUAUUUUGCCAAUUCUCCCUUUUCCUUGGAUGUGCUGAAAGCAGGUGCGCAUUUUAAGUUAUACCGUGUGAUUUCCUGUUCAAUUUAAACAUAUUGAUAUUUGAAUGGCUUCAGAAUAUGUAACUUGUUAUCCUUCUUAUUUUCUGGUUUAUAUAACUUGGAUGCUGGGAAUUAGAUUGUUUCAGCAACAAUAUCCUUUUUAUUAUUUUAAUCAAUGAGAAUUUGGUGGUCUUUCCUUCAGAUUGGGUGCUUUUAAUCAGUUAGAAACAUUUAAACACGUUCUUUAGGAUCUCUAGCGAAGGAGUUGUUGCUUGAAAGAAUUUAAGCUUUCUGAUCAUUUGGUCGUCAAUACGACAAUGGAGGCAUGUGGAGAUCUACCAAUAGGAGAGAGGAGUCAUUGUCUGCCUUUCGUUAUAUGGAAAUGCGUGUAUGUGCAUUGCAUAUCUUUUCAUUUGCUGAUUAAAUAUCUAUCUGUACACAUACCUUUCUUUGUUGUACAUUAUAUGUUUUUGCUUUUGUUCAUUUUGUGAAAAAUUAUACAUUAUUAUAUUUUUAUAUCUUCGUUAUUACAUAGUCAACUAUACUGUAUCACGUGCCUUGCACAUGCGUCUUACUACUAAAUAUAAAAGAGGGAGUUUUAGUUACUGUUCACAAGCCGAAUGGUCAUACAAACCAAGCUUUGUUCGAGUCAGCUGGUUAGCCAAGUCGUGGGAGUGGGUGGGUGUAAAAAGAUCUUCCGCUGGAUUGUCUAGAACAUUCGUUUCUUCUUAUUUCUCUCUGGGGUUUUCUAUGUUCUCUCUUGGGUAUCUCAUCUGGCUUCUUUUUCCUUUGUUGAUAUUUAUGAUUUAGUAAAUGGAGAUGAUAAUAAUAAUAAUUUGUGUUUACGUUGUUUCUCUAGAUCUAUGAUUGUUAAUUACAGAACUUUUAGUGACAAGAACACUCCAAUUUUUUGCCAAUCGAAAAAGAAGAUGAUGAUUUUGACCUACCCACAAAAGGCUCAGGCGUGGGCCGAAGGUUGAUGAGAAAAAGAUGAAGCCCAAGAACAAUACCUAAAGCCAUGUCGAUGAUGAGAUUGAGGAUUUCUCUCAGGAGGAGGAUAGGCCCUUUGUUGGCAAUUGCUAUUCUUAAAGGAGAACUUGAACUGCCACUGUCACUUUGAACAAGUACCAUUUGCGUUUUGAAAUACAGUAAUACUGCCAUUAGACACGGUCUCAAAAGGAUACGUGGUUCAACUGAGAAGCGGAGACAACCCGGUCAGUUGGUAGAGAAGCUCUUGGAACAGAUUGUGACUUUAGAGGGCUCGGAAAUUUCAAACCUAUUUAGCCAGACUCCUAUACUUUAUCUGGCUACAAAAAUUGGGAAUGUUGAGUUUUUGACUCUGCCUAUCGGCUUAUAUCCUGAUAUUAUAUGGAGAGGAGUCUUAAAUUAUAAAUCCAUAUUUCAUCU